CAGCCGCCGCGGUAAUACGUAGGUGGCGAGCGUUGUCCGGAAUUAUUGGGCGUAAAGGGCUCGCAGGCGGUUUCUUAAGUCUGAUGUGAAAGCCCCCGGCUCAACCGGGGAGGGUCAUUGGAAACUGGGAAACUUGAGUGCAGAAGAGGAGAGUGGAAUUCCACGUGUAGCGGUGAAAUGCGUAGAGAUGUGGAGGAACACCAGUGGCGAAGGCGACUCUCUGGUCUGUAACUGACGCUGAGGAGCGAAAGCGUGGGGAGCGAACAGGAUUAGAUACCCCGGUAGUCCCUGUCUCUUAUAA
rnacentral:rRNA from 1 species